rnacentral:rRNA from 1 species
CCUACGGGUGGCAGCAGUGGGGAAUAUUGCACAAUGGGGGAAACCCUGAUGCAGCGACGCCGCGUGAAGGAAGAAGGAUUUCGGGAUGUAAACUUCUAUCAGCAGGGAAGAAAGUGACGGUACCUGUCUAAGAAGCCCCGGCUAACUACGUGCCAGCAGCCGCGGUAAUACGUAGGGGGCAAGCGUGAUCCGGAUUUACGGGGGGUAGAGGGAGCGUAGGCGGCGAUGCAAGUCAGAAGUGAAAGCCCGGGGCUCAACCCCGGGACUGCUUGUGAAACUGUAUGGCUAGAUUGCAGGAGAGGCAAGUGGAAUUCCUAGUGUAGCGGUGAAAUGCGUAGAUAUUAGGAGGAACACCAGUGGCGAAGGCGGCCUGCUGGACUGUAAAUGACGCUGAGGCUCGAAAGCGUGGGGAGCAAACAGGAUUAGAUACCCCUGUAGUC